GAUGAACGCUAGCGACAGGCUUAACACAUGCAAGUCGAACGGCAGCGGGGACUUCGGUCCGCCGGCGAGUGGCGAACGGGUGAGUAAUGCAUCGGAACGUACCCGGGAGUGGGGGAUAACUAUCCGAAAGGAUAGCUAAUACCGCAUAUUCUGUGAGCAGGAAAGCAGGGGAUCUUCGGACCUUGUGCUUCCGGAGCGGCCGAUGUCAGAUUAGCUAGUUGGUGGGGUAAAGGCCUACCAAGGCGACGAUCUGUAGCGGGUCUGAGAGGAUGAUCCGCCACACUGGAACUGAGACACGGUCCAGACUCCUACGGGAGGCAGCAGUGGGGAAUUUUGGACAAUGGGCGCAAGCCUGAUCCAGCCAUGCCGCGUGAGUGAAGAAGGCCUUCGGGUUGUAAAGCUCUUUCGGCCGGGAAGAAAUCGCGUGAGUUAAUACCUUGCGUGGAUGACGGUACCGGAAUAAGAAGCACCGGCUAACUACGUGCCAGCAGCCGCCGUAA
rnacentral:rRNA from 1 species